rnacentral:rRNA from 1 species
GACGAACGCUGGCGGCGUGCUUAACACAUGCAAGUCGAACGGAAAGGCCCCACUUUUGUGGGGUACUCGAGUGGCGAACGGGUGAGUAACACGUGGGUGAUCUGCCCUUGACUUUGGGAUAACUUCAGGAAACUGGGGCUAAUACCGGAUAGGACCUUCCGCUGCAUGGUGGGGGUUGAAAAGUUUCGGCGGUUGGGGAUGGCCCCGCGGCUUAUCAGCUUGUUGGUGGGGUAGUGGCUUACCAAGGCGUCGACGGGUAGCCGGCCUGAGAGGGUGACCGGCCACAUUGGGACUGAGACACGGCCCAGACUCCUACGGGAGGCAGCAGUGGGGAAUAUUGCACAAUGGGCGGAAGCCUGAUGCAGCGACGCCGCGUGCGGGAUGACGGCCUUCGGGUUGUAAACCGCUUUCGCCUGGGACGAAGCGUGAGUGACGGUAAUUGGAUAAGAAGCACCGGCUAACUACGUG